rnacentral:rRNA from 1 species
CCUACGGGAGGCAGCAGUGAGGAAUAUUGGUCAAUGGGCGGAAGCCUGAACCAGCCAAGUAGCGUGCAGGAUGACGGCCCUACGGGUUGUAAACUGCUUUUAUACGGGAAUAACGCGCCUUACGUGUAGGGCUUUGCAUGUACCGUAUGAAUAAGGACCGGCUAAUUCCGUGCCAGCAGCCGCGGUAAUACGGAAGGUCCGGGCGUUAUCCGGAUUUAUUGGGUUUAAAGGGAGCGUAGGCCGCAUGUCAAGCGUGCUGUGAAAUGUCCGGGCUCAACCCGGGCUGUGCAGGGCGAACUGGCGUGCUUGAGUCCGCGGAAAGCAGGCGGAAUGCGUGGUGUAGCCGUGAAAUGCUUAGAUAUGACGAAGAACCCCGAUUGCGAAGGCAGCUUGCUGGAGCGGAACUGACGCUGAUGCUCGAAAGCGCGGGUAUCGAACAGGAUUAGAUACCCCAGUAGUC